UGAACUAUUAUUAGUUUGAUUAAUUUAUUUAAAGGAUAAUUUUCAUAAUAAUAUUAUAUUAUUAUUAUUAUGUGCAUAUUUUAAGUAAUUACUUAUUAUAUGUUAAGCAUGACAUGAUUUGCAUUAUAUUUUGCAAUAAGAAUAUUUAUGAUUUAAUUGGUUUUAUUAUAAUUCCAAUUAUUAAAGAAAGAUGAGUAAGAAUAUUGUUGGUGUUCUUAACUCAAAGAGAAAUGUUUUCAAUUAUUUAUUCAUUAAAUUUUGAAAACCCGGCUAAGUGAAUCAUAGAAUAUUAAGCACUUCACCAUGACUUAAGAUUAGAAUUCAAGGAGACCUAUUAAGAAUAGAUUUCUUGUAGGCUUUGAGCAUCAGGAGGACUAGCACUGCUAUUCCGAUUCAGAGAUAAGGUUAAACGACAGGCUUUGCCUAUACAGGUUGAGUAGCUGCCGAUGGUGAUGAAGUGACGAGCGGGACUCUUUUGUCUUAUUAUGUAUUAAUGAACUCUAGGGAUACAUGUCUUCAUACAUGUAAUCAGAACCUUAUUCCGCUGCGUACUCAGAAGUUUUAUGUUA